GUAGAGAGGCAGAAAGAAAACCUGGAUCCUCUCUUGUCACAGCAUCAAAAUAUGGGAAAAGAUUCAGAAGCAUUAAAUCCACAUCUUCUUCAGUUGACUAAUGUCUUUGGAGCUAACAACAAUCAGAUUCACAAGGU